GACGUAGGGCGCGAGCGUUUGUCCGGAAUUAUUGGGCGUAAAGAGCUCGUAGGCGGUCUGUCGCGUCCGUUGUGAAAACUCGAGGCUCAACCUCGGGCUUGCAGUGGAUACGGGCAGACUAGAGUGCGGUAGGGGAGACUGGAAUUCCUGGUGUAGCGGUGGAAUGCGCAGAUAUCAGGAGGAACACCGAUGGCGAAGGCAGGUCUCUGGGCCGCAACUGACGCUGAGGAGCGAAAGCAUGGGGAGCGAACAGG
rnacentral:rRNA from 1 species